UGCAAGUCGAACGAGAAGGGCACCUUCGGGAGCCCGAGUAAAGUGGCGAACGGGUGAGUAGCACGUGGGUGACCUACCCUCUGGAGGGGGAUAACCCGGGGAAACCCGGGCUAAGACCGCAUAAGCCUUUGAGGUCAAACUCAAAGGGAAAAGGGUCUAGCUUUCGAGCUUGAUCCUGCCGGAGGAGGGGCCCGCGUCCCAUUAGCUUGUUGGUGGGGUAAGAGCCUACCAAGGCUACGAUGGGUAGCCGGUCUGAGAGGACGGACGGCCACACUGGAACUGAGACACGGUCCAGACUCCUACGGGAGGCAGCAGUGGGGAAUUUUGGGCAAUGGGCGAAAGCCUGACCCAGCAACGCCGCGUGGAGGAAGAAGGCCUUCGGGUCGUAAACUCCUGUCCUAGGGGAAGAAGAAAGUGACGGUACCCUUGAAGGAAGCCCCGGCUAACUCCGUGCCAGCAGCCGCGGUAAGACGGGGGGGGCGAGCGUUGUUCGGAAUUACUGGGCGUAAAGGGCGCGUAGGCGGCUUGGGAAGUCUUGGGUGAAAGCCCCCGGCUCAACCGGGGAAUGGCCUGAGAAACCACUGGGCUGGAGUGCUGGAGAGGGAAGCGGAAUUCCCGGUGGAGCGGUGAAAUGCGUAGAUAUC
rnacentral:rRNA from 1 species